GACGAACGCUGGCGGCGUGCUUAACACAUGCAAGUCGAACGGAAAGGCCCUGCUUGCAGGGUACUCGAGUGGCGAACGGGUGAGUAACACGUGGGUGAUCUGUCCUGCACUUCGGGAUAAGCCUGGGAAACUGGGUCUAAUACCGGAUAGGAGCCAUUUUUAGUGUGAUGGUUGGAAAGUUUUUUCGGUGUAGGAUGAGCUCGCGGCCUAUCAGCUUGUUGGUGGGGUAAUGGCCUACCAAGGCGGCGACGGGUAGCCGGCCUGAGAGGGUGGACGGCCACAUUGGGGAUGGGAUACGGCCCAGACUCCUACGGGGGGCAGCAGUGGGGGAUAUUGCACAAUGGGCGGAAGCCUGAUGCAGCGACGCCGCGUGGGGGAUGACGGCCUUCGGGUUGUAAACUCCUUUCGCUAGGGGAGAAGCUUUUUGUGACGGUACCUAGAUAAGAAGCACCGGCUAACUACGUG
rnacentral:rRNA from 1 species